rnacentral:rRNA from 1 species
CGGGACGGGUGAGUAACGCGUGGGUAACCUGCCUUAUACAGGGGGAUAACAGUCAGAAAUGGCUGCUAAUACCGCAUAAGCGCACAGAGCUGCAUGGCUCAGUGUGAAAAACUCCGGUGGUAUAAGAUGGACCCGCGUUGGAUUAGCUUGUUGGCGGGGUAACGGCCCACCAAGGCGACGAUCCAUAGCCGGCCUGAGAGGGUGAACGGCCACAUUGGGACUGAGACACGGCCCAGACUCCUACGGGAGGCAGCAUG